rnacentral:rRNA from 1 species
CCUACGGGAGGCAGCAGUGGGGAAUAUUGCACAAUGGGGGAAACCCUGAUGCAGCGACGCCGCGUGAGUGAAGAAGUAAUUCGUUAUGUAAAGCUCUAUCAGCAGGGAAGAAAAUGACGGUACCUGAGUAAGAAGCCCCGGCUAACUACGUGCCAGCAGCCGCGGUACUACGUAGGGGGCAAGCGUUAUCCGGAUUUACUGGGUGUAAAGGGAGCGUAGACGGCAGUGCAAGUCUGGAGUGAAAGGCGGGGGCUCAACCCCCGGACUGCUCUGGAAACUGUACGGCUGGAGUGCAGGAGAGGUAAGUGGAAUUCCUAGUGUAGCGGUGAAAUGCGUAGAUAUUAGGAGGAACACCAGUGGCGAAGGCGGCUUACUGGACUGUAACUGACGUUGAGGCACGAAAGCGUGGGGAGCAAACAGGAUUAGAUACCCGUGUAGUC